AAUGAACGCUGGCGGCGUGCUUAACACAUGCAAGUCGAACGAGAAAGGGAUUGCUUGCAAUCCUGAGUAGAGUGGCGCACGGGUGAGUAACACGUAGAUAAUCUACCUUCGAGCCCGGGAUAACUAUCCGAAAGGAUGGCUAAUACCGGAUGAGGUGGAUACACACAAGUGUAUUCAUGAAAGAUUGCCAAUCCUUGGAAGCAAUUGUUUGGAGAUGAGUUUGCGGACCAUUAGUUUGUUGGUGGGGUAAAGGCCUACCAAGACUGCGAUGGUUAGCUGGUCUGAGAGGAUGAUCAGUCACACUGGAACUGGAACACGGUCCAGACUCCUACGGGAGGCAGCAGUGAGGAAUUUUGCGCAAUGGGGGCAACCCUGACGCAGCAACGCCGCGUGAGUGAAGAAGGCCUUUGGGUCGUAAAGCUCUGUCA
rnacentral:rRNA from 1 species